GGAAGCUGUUGCGAUGCGUUCGAAGGUCCAGAAGGAACUUAUGUUGAAGGAGAAGGACCGCAAGGAGCAGGAGUUGCGCGCUUUGGCACAGAAGGCAAGGUCGGAGAGGACUGGAGUUGCGGUACCAGCUCCUGCUGCUCCUGUCCCGGCUCGAUACGAUAGGAUUAUGACUGAUGAAGCUGAUGUUGGAGUGGUGCGCCAUGAGCAGCACAAGGAGACCAGAGAGGAUAGGGAGGAGAAGCUGGAGCGCGACAAAA
rnacentral:misc_RNA from 1 species